UCAUGCAUAGGUAAUUGCGGGAAUAGUGGAGCAUCGGAUUUCAGAGGAAUUCUCGGACCAGAUAUUGCUUGUAAAUAUGAUCUCCUUCGUCUCUCGAACAAUAAACUCAUACUGGGGAACCCAGCAAUGGAUUGAUCUGGCUCGGUAUACGGGACUUCAGGCUCGUAAGAGUGAAGAUAUUUCCUUUCAGACUUCAGAUCCUUCAAAUUCUUCUUCAGCAAUAGAGUGCAAUAUUAUAGAAGAUACAACAAGUAUUGAUGAAAACAACAACCACUAGGUUAUACUUUUCCAAAGGAAUAUUCCUGGCCUUGGUUUUUUUCAAAUUUUAUCUUCUCUCAAAUUUUUGACAAACCUUACAUACAUAGUACAGAAAGGUUUAAUUGAUUGAAAAUGGAAAACCACAGGAGGGGAACAAUUUCCUUCAGUUUUUUAUCAAUUGCAUAUAGUGUACAAUUAAUAUUACUAUUUGUUUCUCUUUGGUUGUAUCUUCAUGUAUAAGUACAACUGUUGGAGCUCUAUUUUUUUAUCAACAGUUGUAAAAUUUGCUAAAAUUUAGCAUAUAACACAUCUCUUGGACAU